rnacentral:rRNA from 1 species
UCCCAGACUCCUACGGGAGGCAGCAGUGGGGGAUAUUGCACAAUGGGGGGAACCCUGAUGCAGCGACGCCGCGUGGGUGAAGGAGUAUUUCGGUAUGUAAAGCCCUAUCGGCAGGGAAGGAGCAAGACGGUACCUGACUAAGAAGCCCCGGCUAACUACGUGCCGGCAGCCGCGGUAAUACGUAGGGGGCAAGCGUUAUCCGGAUUCACUGGGUGUAAAGGGAGCGUAGACGGCGACGCAAGUCUGGAGUGAAAGCCCGGGGCCCAACCCCGGGACUGCUCUGGAAACUGCGGCGCUGGAGUACGGGAGGGGCAGGCGGAAUUCCUGGUGUAGCGGUGAAAUGCGUAGAUAUUAGGAGGAACACCAGUGGCGAAGGCGGCCUGCUGGACGAUGACUGACGUUGAGGCUCGAAAGCGUGGGGAGCAAACAGGAUUAGAUACCCGAGUAU